GGCGUUGUAGCUCAGUGGUAGAGCACUUGCCUUGCAUGCUUGGCCCUGGGUUAAAUCCUCAGCACCA
rnacentral:tRNA from 1 species